UUCAUUUUAUGUCUUUUAACUUAUUUUUAAUUUCAGAAUUUUGGCAUUUAGAUCACUGUAAUUCUUUUAUGUUAGCAAGCUGCAGAAUGGAAUGUCACGAACGCUUAAAAAUUGUUGCUCAAGAAGGAGAUAUCGACAUGUUUUAUAAUUUACUCGCAGAGGAUCCAUAUUUGCUUGAUCACAAGGAUACUACAUCAUUUAUCCAUACUCCUUUGCACAUAGCAGCUUCUCAUGGAAAAAUUCUAUUUGCAAUGGAGAUGAUCAUUUUAAAGCCAUCAUACGCUCGAAAACUCAAUCAUCAUGGUCUUAGCCCCAUGCACCUCGCCGUCCUCAACCGGCAAACCGAUAUGGUUCGUGAAUUUCUGCACUAUGAAAGUGAUCUCGUUCGUGUUCGAGGAAGGGAAGGUAAAACUCCUUUGCACUUUUUAGCUGAAAAAGGACAUGACCAUGUUCAUCACCAAGAGAAACUCUGCCUCUUGACUGAGUUUUUAUCAGCUUGCUCAUUAUGCAUCCAAGAUGUCACAAAUCGUAGUGAAACAGCUCUUCAUAUUGCUGUGAAGAAUCAGAAUUUUGAUGCCUUUGAUUGCUUACUGCAAGGACUGCGAAGAUCUUUUGACAACAAUGAUAUCAGAAAUGUCAUAGAGUUGAAAGAUGGAGAAGGGAACAAUGUUCUACACAUUGCAACGGCUACCAAUCAAUACCAAGUAGUGAAGUUGUUACUCAAAAGUAAAAUAAUUGAUGUAAAUGCCAAGAAUUCGAAAGGCUUGACUGCUCUAGAUAUCUCAGAUCCACACAACAGAGAAGUUAGGGAAUUUCUACUCCAUGGCGGAGCUUUAAAUGCGAAAUCACUUCCCCAAGUUCUCAAAGAUGAUGGUGACAAUUUGAGAUCCAACAUCUCAUUCAAAGAAAAUGUCAUAAUAUUUGUCAGACGUUUUAAGAACAAUACAAGCAGCAAUCUGUCACUAAUUUUGUUGGCCGCAAUACUGAUUGCACCAGCUGCUGUAAGCCCAUUGGGAGGAGUUUGGCAGGACAACAAGAAGCCUCUGAAAUACUUCGUUUAUCAUAUGGCUAACAUUAUAACGCAUUAUCUUAUGGUUCUCUUUAUUUGUCUUCUACUCCCCUGUUUGAACAUGAUUGAGAAAUGAAAGGAUUUGACUAUAUGCGGACAUCGUUUAAGCAUAGCAUCAUUCAGGAAAUUGAAGCAUGACUGUCAAGUAAUUAAACCUUGCAAAGUAUGUUUGUUAGAGAGCAGAGGCCAUUUCAGCUGGAUGUUGUAUCUCUGCGAAACCGUACGCCAUUGAGUUUUGAAAUUUCUUUUUUCUUUUGAAAAAUAGUAGUGUUAUUUUCAGCCAACAUCAUGCAAGGUUAUGUACUUGUUUGUUUAUUAACAUGUUUUUAUGAGAUUCUACUGUGAUGAAUGAGUUUAUUUUAAUUAAUUUUGUCAGCGGAAAUUUAGUAUCUUUCUUGCUAAGAUAGUAAUCAUUGAACUAGUUUGUAACCAAUUAAAAUAAAUCAUAAUUGGUUUUUCUUUUUCCAGAAAAUGAAAUAGAGAAAAAAAAAAAAAAAAAACUCAUUUGGAACAUGUUCCAAUGGUUUGAGUUUACUAGGUAUGAAUUGAUUUAGUAUAUGAUAAUGCAUAUAAUAAAUUAAUCUGUUAUUCAUUAUCAUGCAAAACAGAGUAGGCAACUACAAGAGGUAUUGGUCCUUUGUUGGGUACAAUAAAUGAGUUUGUAAACAAUUAUCCUUUUUGUUCUUUUUUUAUGAACAAAUUUUUAUCUUUUUAGAAUUUUAAGUUAGCAUCAUGUUUUGUUUGGUUCUUAUUGUAAAGAAAGAUUGAAUUUGAGGUUGAAGAAACAGCUGAGGCAGGGGAACUUCAAGAGCUAUUUGCCCUUAGAAGGGUGGCUUUGAUUUGAUGAAGUGAAAUGAUUCAUCAUUCUACUAAAAACCAUUGUUGGUUAGGAAGCCAUACCAAGGUAUGGGCGCUUUAGUCCAACACAUUUGGCUCUGCAGAAAUGGGAAACCAAGAUGGUAUGCACUGGCUAUUAGACAUCAAUUGAGACCUCAUUCUGGUGCAAGGCAGAGAAAGCUGAGCCCCUUACAAUGUGCAGCCAAAGAAGGAAAUUUGGAGCUGUUGGCUCCUCUCUGGCGUGAUUCCCCAUUCAUGCUUGAGAGUGAAUGUGACAAUUUUUGUUGCAGGCUUUUUUUUUUUCUUUUCUUUUCUAUUUGCUUAUUUAUUUAUUUUUGGCACCAAGAAAAUAAACUUGUAAUGAUACUAGGAACAAAUUACAGAUUCUGCACAAUCCAAAGUAAUUAAUAUAUGUCUCUCCCUCAGUGCUUUCCAGUCUCAAUUUAGAUGCCAAUUGACCUUCGAGGGAUUGCUUGGCAAUCUAGACAGUAUGUAAAUGUUGUGCUGCAUACUUCAAGUGCAAAGAAGAGCAUGUAAUAUCUUGGAUAAAUUUUGAAGUUUUUUAAGUAAUGCCCUGCACUUAGUUGAAA